AUGCCGACUUCUUGGAGGGCAGUAUUUAUUAGAUAUCAAGCCAGCGACCUUCGGGGGUUGUGGUGAAUCCUAGUAACUUAUGAGAUCAGCUGGGCGUUUGCCCCCCACAAACCAUUCAAGUUUCUGCCCCCUCAGCUUUCCAUGGGAGUGGAUUGGACUACCAUGGGUUUUACGGGUGACGGAAGAUUAAGGUUCCAUUCCCGAAAGGGAACCUGAAAAACGGCUACCACAUCCAAAGAAAGGAGCAGGGGCGUAAAUUACCCCAUCCUGAAUCAAGGAGGGAGUG
rnacentral:rRNA from 1 species